ensembl:lncRNA
UAGAUAACGACACAGUGUACAAUGUCAUGUUUUGUAGUUCACCUGAGAUAAUUUUUAAAUGUUGUCAUAGAUUAAAAAAAUGUAAUAAAUGAAAAUUUAAAGUUUUAACUAUACUGUCACAUUUGUCACACAAAUUUUGGCAAAGUGGUACACCAUAAAAGUAACUUUACUCCUAGAAUACAGGGAAUAUUAUCAACAGAAUUAAACUUUAACAUGACACAAGAUAUUGAUCAGUGCUUUUUUUUCCAUAAAAAUAAGAAGAUUUAAAAUGUGUUUAGGACAACUGUCUUGAUUUGUUUUUUGAACCUGCUGUUCUCCAAACUAAAGGAAAGUCUUUUGUUUUGUGCAGACACUACAAUGGUCAUCAUUGUCUCAGGGAGCUUAGCUCUUCUGGUCUGUGCCAUCAUCCCUGUUAUUUUCUAUGGACACUGGCGGAGUCACACAGGUCCGAACAGAGCUGAAGACAACAAGGGUGAGGGUGAUCAUCGGGAGGAAAAUACAGAUGUUGGAUCUGGUCAGGUUGCAGUGGAGCUGCAGGCCUUUGAGUCAGAUGUUGCUCCAGAGACCGAUGAUAAUUACACCUCCGCAUAUGCUGCCAUCUACGAGGCACGAGAACCUCAAACCAUGGACUGAGAAGUCUU